UCUUUGAGUUUCAAGCGAACCAGGAUAAAAAUACUUAUGUUUUUAUCUCUUCAUUAUUAACUUGUUAAUGGUGUUCUUGUUUUGGAAAAAACUUUUGCUUGUAUAACCCAAUUCAAACCCCCGUUUCUUGUUUGUUUCAUACCUUCAAGGCCAUCAAGUUUCUUCCCUUAGGUUUGUUGCAUGGUUUAAAAAAGUUUAUGCAUUGUUGGAUCAUUAUGUGCAUUUUCAUUAUUUUCCUUACAUUUCUUU
rnacentral:lncRNA from 1 species